AUGCUUACUUACUAUACCAUUUUUUAUGGAUUGUUCUCAUAAGGCCAUAUUUUUUUAUAGCAUUCAUUUUUUAUAAUGGAACACCAAUUCGUAAAGACUCUUAAAAUUAUAGUCUUUUUUUAUUAAUUCGUCAUAAUUAAAUAAAAUAUAUGUAUUAAUAAUUAUAUGUGAACGAUAUUAAUCUAGAGAUUUUCUGGCAAGGCGAUGAUAAGUUAGUCAAAGCUCCAAAAAUGAAUCCACAAGUGGGACAUAUGACUCUAAUUUUGUCUUUUCAGAGUCAAGUCGUUGGUUGCUUAGGCAGAAAUAGCUCUAUUAUUUCCACCCCAAACAGUCACAUCUGGGGGGUUGGGUCACGGUCCGAAUUAUUUCGGUUGGUUGAAAACAAAAUUUUUUUUUAAAGAGGCAAACCAAAAGUUUAUGGUUCAAAAAAUACAAUAUGUGUACAGACCAAAAUCUACAGUUCGAUUUAUAAAAAAUUAAAAAUUCACGGUUCGAAUCACAGUUAAUCAGGAUUGUUACAUUUUCACGAAAUUAAAAAAUUUGAUUAUAUGAUAUACCAUAAAAAGUUUGCAGUAGACGUAAAAAAAAAUAAGUAGCAUUUAAACUUAAAAAAAAAAUUUUAAAAAAAAAAAAAAGUAAAACACUAUUGAAAGAUUAUAAACUAAUUGAAACCUUAAUGUUAUGUUAAAAGUAAUUGAAAGACAUAAACGCCGUAUGAAUGGACCACAAAAGAGAGGGUGGGCCGCAGUAAGAUUAGAGUUGAGGGUUACUGGUUACUUUUGUGUAAAAUGAAAUGUGAAAUUUUCUCCUUAUUUAGGAUUUUUGUAGCGUACAAGUUGUUUAAAAAUAAAAAUAAAAUUGGCACUUGUCACACCUAACUUCAUUUUAAAAACUUGAGUAUUUAGAAAAAAAUAGUAAUAACAUAUGUUACAAUUAUAAUUCUAAUUCUUAUUCUAAUAUUAUUAUAUAUAUAUAUAUUUUAAAUCUCACGGUCCAGUCGGUUAUCCCGGUUCGUUUUUAAAUUCAUGAACCGAAUCGCGAAUUCCGUUUUCUAAUUUUCAUCCAUGUCUGAACCAAUUAAUUCACAAACCCAUAAAGAGAUGCAGUACUUAUUGUGGUGGUUGCGGUGGGUUUCGUAUGAGGCGAGGCGGUGUGGGUAGAAGAGAGAGACAGUGGGGAAAAAGAGAAAGAGAUGUGGUACCUGCGAUGCAGUUUGCAGCGGUGGUGGUGACUGGUGCGGUGGUGGUGUGGUGGUGGGGUGACUUGUAGGAGGAGAGUGUGAGAUGGGGAAGAAUGGAGAAAAUGAGAUGAAGAAAUGAGUGUUUUAGUUUUUUUUUUGUGGUCCCACUAAAAAUGUUCCAAUGGAUCAAAAAAAUAACUUAGGUUUGAGAUUUUUUUUUUUGUCAUAAAUCACAAUAUGUUGGGUCCCACACCUUUGAGAAGAGGACUGAUAUUUUUUUGAAAAAAAAAUAGUCUCAGUAAAAUUUCAGUCAUUGGACUAACGCAAAUGGAUUAUAACCUUAAAUAUGGCGAUAAUUUAAAAAUUUAAAAUAUGUGUGUCUUAUAUUAAGAUCAGGGGGAAUUGAGAAACAGUUAGGGGGCAAAUGGUCCCUAUGGCCAUAGCACGUCCUCCAUGCCUUGAGAUAUAUAUACACACUAACAAACACGAUAUAUAUAACAGUUACUUUUUGUAAUUAGUGCUCUAUUAAGUACUAAAUUGGUCAUAUUAUUGGUUUCUUCCGAAAAUUGCUUGUAAGAAUUGACAAGAAUAAACAACUACCAAAUGCAUUAAUUGAAGGGAAUAUCAAAAUAAUAAAUACAAGUUAAAUGUUUUGUUAGAUCAAUAAAAACUCAAGAAUUUUAGAGAGUAUUUUGGGCAAAGUGUAAAAGGUGGCGCCAUGUUGAGCUUUGAGCUGCGUUCACUUGUACAAAAUAUUGCGAGUCAACGACGAGCAAAGCCUAGUUCAAGGAAUCGAGCCUUUAUAUUUUAAAAUUUAAAAAGUAUAUUAUCCAUGCCAAGUCUCUAAAAGAACGAAAUAAAGCCAAGUAUAGCUGCCAAUAGUGAUACGACAUUCUUCUAAUGAUGCAUUUUAUUUGCUGUAUUAGGAAAGAUUUUCUAUGGACUUGUAAGUGAUUUUUCUGUGACAUAGGAUCCUGCUAAAAAAAUUAUCACCCUUGUGCGGAGUCAAGAAAUAUUUGGGGGGCAACUAUUAAAAAAAAAUAUGAUGGGGUAUUUAUAAUUUUUUGAGGGGCAAUUAAAAGAAAUUCUUGAACUAUAGGUAAAAAAAAAAUUCAAAUGGUAGCCCCUGAAUUAUCAGAGUCCUCACCUUUGGAAACCUAUCUCGUUAGAAUAAUGAUCUUUGAAUCUGACGCCCUAAACCCCACCAGGUUCUCUUUUUUGUAGAAAAAAAAUUCCGAAAACAUAAAUUUUCUAAAUAACCAUUUUCAUUGUUUAGCAAUUGUAUAGAAAGUUAACUGAAUUACAAUUACAAACAGAAAACUAGGAAUGAGUUACAAAUAGAAUUAACGAGCCUAAUCCUGAAACAUAGUUUCUUUAAGAAAGAUUCGCACACCUACCGGGAUGUUGUACUACGUCGGCAUGUUUCGUAAGGAUAAAAUGGUAGACUCACGUCGUCGAAACCCACCGAGGUAAGCCUUGGCGAACUAACCUACGUCUCUCUCUCAAAGUCUUGGUGUUGUAAUUACAUUUCUAAUUAAUUAUCUCAUUACGUCAACAAAUUUUAAGUCUCUAUAAUUAGGCAUUGUAAACGUGUAAUUUUUUAAGACAUGUUUUUCUAUGAUCGUUAUUAUUCAAUAAAUAAAAAAGAUGUAUCUUUCUAAUGAUAACACAACAAUACAUCUAUAUCUCCAAUCCAUGAAUUCCCAUGCUAUUACACUGCCAAAAAUAGUUUGGGAAAUGGAACACACAAUAUAGAAAUACUCGUACAAUAAAAGGGCAAUAGAUAACUUCAAAGCUAACGCGGCAUGGAGUAAUCAUACCCUAAUCCACUAAGCUAUAGCCUAUACUUCUUACAACCCAUUUCAGACAAUUUCAACAGGAUUCAAAGACAGUACAAUGAAAUUUGUCCCCACAGCACCUGCGCGCAGCAUCAAACUCCAUUUCUUUCUUGUGGUCUUAGUUUCCAUAAGCAGGAGAAUCAUGAUAACGAUAUGGAGUUCAAGAUGAGAUCAUUGUUUCUCCUCCAGUCACACCAAAUGCCUCCUCCAUGUCUAGCUCUUCUUGUUCAUCCAUUGGAAGCUUCCAAUCACAAUGGUCAACAAUUGGGUGCAAGUGGUUAGCGCAAUAUUUAGGCACGGCAAAUGUUUCCCGGGGAAACAAAUCCUCCUCCCGGCACCAAAAAACGGGAUUAAUUGGAAAUGCGUUUCCCUUGAAAUCAAUUCCGCAUUCCAAAACCUGUCCGGGUAAAAUCUCUUCCGCCUCGUUCCAGUGUCUGGGGGUCGCGCGGCGAUUGCCCAAGCAUUGACAAUGACGUUGGUCUUGGCGGUAACAAAGUACCCAUUAAUCACACAUUGUUCACUUGAUUCUCUUGGAGUAAAUAGAGGUCAAUGGGUGAAUCCUAAAGGUCUCUUUGGUACAGGUUUACAUAGUUUUAGCCUCUGACGGCCCGAUUGAAAUCGACGUUUCUUUUUUGGCAAAGACAUUUUUUACCUCUUCUUUGCGCUUCCAUCGCUUGUGGGUUUUGAUCAAUUGCCGACAUUGCCCCUCUAUGUUGUUGAGAUGUCUCACUUCCAGCCUGAAAUGUCCUGACAUUUAUGGGUUUGUAUGUUUCAUUAUAGGUUACACACACACAGAAAAUUUACUUUCGGUUAACAUGUUUCAAAACUUAAAAAAUUCUAUAACAAAAAAUUGUUUCCCAAAAUCUUGAAAUCAGAAAAAAAUGAAUUAACGUGUGAAAAGGAUGAAUAUUUUUUGUUCAAAACUGUUUCUGAAAGACGUCUGAAAAACUACUUCUGAAACACAGCAAUCAUAUUGCGAAAAAGAGAUCUUUUGACACAAAAUAUUGAAACCUACAAGAGAGCAAAUAUAGCGACAGAAAACAAAUCUAGCAUAUAAAUUAGUGUGACCUCACACCAUUAAACUAUGGGUAGAAGUUCAUUUUUUUCCCCAAAAAACCGGUCGAGCAGAAUAGUAUGACUCGAAACAUGGUUGCAAUGAAUAUAAAUAUAAAAAAAAUAAGAGCCAAAACACACACAAAAAAAAAAAUACUAACCAAAAUGACUGCUUGAGUUGGCAUCAGCAAUGCAACAUUCCAGAGUCACCAUGCUUCUGAACCCUUAGAAGGACCUCGACUAAAUCCUCUGUUUCUGCUUUUGCCACAUUCUGUCGCACUGUUUCCACUCUUAUCUCGUUCACAAUGCUUUCGAGGUAUUUUUAGCGAGUUUUUUUUGCAACCUCUCAAACUUACUUUUCAUUCUGGUGAUUCACUUUGAGUACUUCACGAAGGGUAACAAGUCCACGAUUGCUUGUGAAACCCGCCAUCAAAGAUCGUGCUUCGUCCACAAUCGAAAAUGAAACUCUUCUUGGUAUUAUUUUUCUUCCCAAACGCGCGGCCUAGAAACAAUCAUUCGUUAGUAUGAGGAUAGUUUCUUGCUAAGAGUGAUGGACAAUCCCGGAGUCUUUCGAAAUUGAUUUUACUAAAUCGAAACUCCUCUGCCCUUCAUCUCUAUGGAACGAUUGUACACGACUUGUGCUUAACAAUUCCGUGACACAAAAAAAAUUUUGUGCAUUGUCUCAGUAAUCGCCAUACGGGGAAAAUGCAAUGUUUGUGGAACCAUAAGAGAAAAUUUGAGAAGGCGAGAAGAAAUAGGACUUUGGGCAAAAAAAGACUAGGUCGUGUUCUUUGAACUCUUUGGCAAUUUCAGGCGAAGAGAGACGACCAUAGGGACACUUGACGAAGUUGUAGAUGCAUCAACGGUCCUAUGUUCCGGCCAAAUUUCUCAAAUUGUGGUGCUGGUAGUGAGCCAACCAAGUUGGUGAAUAUUUCUAUGAUGGGUUUAGCUUCCAUGGCCCUGGGGGUAGAUAGUUUUGGAAUUGAGCUCGAGGAUUUGGAUUUCUUCACAAUUUUUACAACCAUGGAAAGGAAAAGGAAGCAGGCCUAAGAGCAGAGGCAUGGAGGAAAUGGGAAGUCUAUUGAAGGGGGAAAUUGAGAGAGAGGGAGGGGCGUCGUCCAAAAUUAAGUAGCAGAUAUGCAAUUGAUAGUAAUUUACUACUGGCAGCGCGGCUCUAAAGUACACAUCUAAAAAUGAAUGCCAGAUAGUGCAUCAAAACUAUCUAUAUAAUUUCUUUUUAUACAAAAUGGUCGUAUAUUUAUCACAAUAAGGAUGUGUCUAUACUAUUUUUUAUAUUAACAUACAUAUCUCAUGGACAUUAACCAAAUCGAUAUAAGUUUAUAUGGUAGCACGAUGUGUAUAUAGAAUUGUCUAACAUACUUUAUUAUUGUUAUUUUUUGGAUAAGUCUUGGUAGUUUUAGCUCAUCACAAAGUGUCAGUUUUUCCUCUUUUCAACAACUUCACCAAUGCUGUGACUCAGUGAAUUCUUUUUUUUUCCUUGAUUUUUUUUCAAAAAAUUAGAGAAAAAAAUUACGUUGUAUUUGGAUUAAUAAUUUAUGAGGAACAAAAAUAAAAAAAUAAAAAAGUAGACGAUUCAAACUUUAUUCGAGACCAGUGGAUGUUUUAUUAUUUUAACAUACAUAUUAGAAGUCACCACAAUCGAGCAAAUAUUUAUAUGGUUACGCACGAGUUACUAUAAAAUUUGUCUAUAUACUUUAUUAGUGUAUUUUUUGGAUAAGUUGGUAGUUUUAGCUCAUCACCAUUUGUCAUUUUUCCUCUUUCAACAACUUCACCAAAGCUGUGAUUCUAUGACAUUCUUUUUUUUCCUGUUUUUUCAAAAAAUUAGAAGAAAAAACAUUAGGUUGUAUUUGGAUUAAGAAAUUUAUUGAGGAAAAAAAAGAAAAAAAAUAAAAAAGUUAGACGAAUUCAACUAUUCAGGACAUUGGUUGAUCUACCUUUUUUCUAUUUCUUUCCCUCGCUAAAUCUUGUUGUCAAACAGAAUUUUGAUCGUGAUCACAAAAUGUUACAUUAAACUUUUAACUCUAUCACAAUUGAAACCAAGCUACUGUUUAAUUUUAUUUAAAUCGUGCAGCACUUAAAUGAUUUUUCUAAAAUAAUUUGGGGGAAACAAUAUUGCACAACGGAUUUCAAAGUCCUUUGAAAACCAUAAAACUUUCUUCAGAUAUUAUAUGUAUUAGCAAAAAUUGGAAGAGUGGCUAGGGUUAAAAAAAUGCUGAAAUUUUGGACAUACAUUGAGUGAAUGAGACCUUUGUUAAGGACCCAAGUACAUGGACUUUGUUUUCCCAAUUAUUUGCUUUGAUGAAGCUUACUUAACGGAGUGGUAAAUAAAUGAAGAUUGUAAUUAUUGAAUUCGAACAUGUUGGACAAGUUAAAAAAAAAUUAAUUUAUUUUCUUAAAAAUUAAAAAAAUUAACGUUUAACUUUUUAUAACUUUUCCUUUGAAUUAAGUUAUCCCUUUUUUUCUAAACGAUUAUGCUUACUUACUAUACCAUUUUUUUAUGAUGUUCUCAUAACGGCAUAUUUUUUUACUAGACAUUCAUUUUAUAAGGGAACACCCAUCGUAAAAGACUUCUUAAAAGAUAGUCUUUUUAUUAAUAUCGGUCAUAAUUAAAUAAAAAUCAUAUAUUAAUAAUUAAUAUGUGAACGAUAUAAAUUAGAGAUUUCUAGCGAGGAAGAGUGAGAUGAUAAGGUUAGGCAAAGGCAGCAAAAAUUGAAUCACAGUGUGACAUAUGACUACAAAUUUUGUCUGUCAAGUCAAGUCUGGUGGUUUGCCUCCAGGCAGAAAUAGCUCGAUAUUCCAACCCCAAAACAGUCACAUCUGGGGGUGUCAACGGUCGAAUUACUUCGGAAUGGAGUGAAUUUACAGAGCAAACAAAAAGUUUAUGGUUCACAAACAAAUACAUCUGUGUACAGAUCAAAAAUCUACAGUUCGAUUUAAAAAAAAAAUCAAAAAAUUCAUGUUCGAAUCACAGUUAUUCAAGGAUUGUUACAUUUCAAGAAAUUAAAAAACUGAUUAUAUGGUAGUACCAUAAGAAGUUGCAAGUAGACGAUCAAAAAAAGAAAAAGAUCGCAGUAAACACACCGAUUGAAAGAUCAUAAACUAAUUGAAACCUUAAUGUAUGUUAAAAUAAAGUAAUUGAAAGACCAUAAAAGCCGGAAUUGAAGGACCACAAGAGAGGGAUGCGCCGCAGUCGCAGUAUAUAUUAGAGUUGAGGGCUGCCGGUUCUUUUGUUGUAAAAUAAAAUGGUGAAUUUCUCCUUAUUUAGAGUUGUAUGUACAAGUGUUUAAAAAUAUAAUAAAAAUUGCCACUUGUCCACAACCUACUUCUAUUACCACUGAGUUAAUUAGACAAAUAAGUAAUAAUAAUAUUGUUACAAUUAUAAGCUAUAAAUAUUAUCCUAAUAUAUAUAUAUUAUAUAUAUAUUUUAAAUCUCAAGGUCAGGUUCGGUUAAUUCAAGGUUCCGUUUAAUGGAAAAUUCUGGACCGAAUCCGCGAAUUACGGUUUUUUUCAUUUUUCAAAUCCGGUGUCUGAAACAUUAAUUCACAAACCCAAUAAAAAACCUACGAAUCAGUUCAGUCGGGGCAGUUUCGACAGUUCGCGACGGUUUUUUUGACAGGCCCUAGCAACAUAACCCCAGCCCCAUUGACAAAAUUACUCUUGUGGCUUCCUCCCCCUCCCCCCUUUUCCCCUCGUGUCCUCUCCCUUUUCCAUUUUGUUAUUUUUUAGUUGGUUUCUUGUUUUUUAUUCUUUUUUUUAUUUUAUUUUUUAAUUAAAUUUAUUUUUUUUUAUCAAUUUUUUUGAAUCAAUAUUUUUUAUAUAUGUUUGUAAGAGUUUGUUAAUUAUAUUAAAUAAUUUUUUUUAUAAUAUGGGGGGAAUCAAAAAAAAACCCCCCCCCAAUAAUUUAUAAUAUAGUUUUUUAGAUUUUGAUGGUGGGAAGUAAGAGAAAUAUUUUUGGAUCCAUAUUUUUAUUUAUAAAAAAUCUAAGGUGGGAGAGCUAAAAGAAAUUAUAAAAUUAUCAUAAAUUUUUUUUGCUGUGAAUGUUUUCUAAUUUUUUUUGCCAACCUAUACCCCCCUCUCUCUCGUUUUUUUUUUUCUUCCAGUUUGUUUUUUUUUGUUUUUGUUUUCCAUUAGUUUUUUUUUCAGUUUUUGUAGUUUCUUUUUGUUCUUUAUAGUUUUGUUUUUUUUAUUUUUUAUCACAUUUAUUUAUUUUUUUUUUAAAUUGAUAAAUAAAAUUGAUGGUGGGAGUAAAAGAAAUAUUUUUUACCCGAUUUAUUAAAAUUUAUUAAAAAAAUUUUUUAUAUAAAAUUCGGAAGGAAGUAAAAGGAAAAAAUAGAAUCAUGGGGUGCUUGCUUAAAAGAAAAACAAAAAACUAAAAGGGUUUAAUGGCUAUAUAAAAAAAAUUAUGAUAAAUUUUAUAAAUUGUUUUACUCCACAUUAUGUUUUUUAUAAAAGAAAAAAAUAGGAUCAUAAAAAUAAUAGAUCCAAAUGUUUGGAGGUGAGUAAAAAGAAAUUAAAAAAAUUUAUAAAAUUUUUUUAUCAUAAAAAUUAGAAGGUGAAGAGUAAAAAAAUAAAAAAGUUUUAGCAUUUUUUUAAUAACUAAAUCAAGGAGGAUGGUAUCAAAAAAAAAAAAAAGGUGAGAGAGAGAGAAAAGAGUAUGAGGGGUUGAGAGAGAGAUGGGCAAAUGCCAAACAAGCCCAAUAACAAUCUCAUCCCACAACAACCGUGGGUGGAAUAAAGUUUGCAAGAAGAAAUCUACUAGUGGACUCAUCUGCAUUCACAAAAAAAUUGGACCGUGAUUACGAUAAAUGUUUGAUUCACAUUUAAAUAUACAUUAUAUGAUUAACACUAAAAAUAGUUUAUAUAUAUGCAAGGAGGGAAGUCAUGAUUUAUUUUAAGAGGGGUCAACUCUUUUAUAUAAAAAAAAAACUACCAACACGGAGUAAUCUUUGGAGAGACAUUUAAAUAAAAUUAAACAUAACAAAAUUCAAUAUAACAAAGAUACUAACUGCAUAACAAAACCAAAAUAAUUUCAAUACUCCAUAAUAUAACUUGGGAAAAUUAAGAAAAUAAAUAGUAAAUUUAAAUUAAAUUAUAUUGAAAUGGAUUUGGAUCUUUUGAAAACCAAAACUAUAAGCUCCUCAGUCCAAAAUUCAUGAUGCUCUAGUUUAACAAAUAACUUUGUUUACAUCUUAUUGACCUUUUUGUCAUCAAGACAAGAAUGGGUGGCCUGGGGUUUUUUUGUUUUUUGUUUUUUUAAACAUACGGAUAGCAUUAUUUCACAGGAUAGAUAUACAUAAUAUACAAGGAUUAAUGGGGAAAAAGUAAAGGGUCAUGUUCACUUAGACCAUAACACGCCCCGUCAUGUGUAUAUUAUAUUAAAAUAAUAAAAAAAUUGAAAUUUUUUUAAAUCAAUAAAAAAUCAAAAUUUUUGAGAGUAUUUUUAGCACAUUGUAAGGGUGGGUCUUUGAUGGAGCUUUGAGCUCAUCAUGUGCAAAGUUGGUGCGAGUCAGGAACGAAGAACGUGAAGUAUUAUAUCGUGGAGCAGACAAGGCAUAGAAAAUUUAAGUUGCAUCGGUCUUGUGGACUUUGCCAAAUGUAUAGGGCUUAACAAAGCUUAUUUUAAUUAUUCGAGUCAUUCGUUUUUUAAAAUUUACAAAGUAUAUUAUCCAUGCCAAGUUUCUGGAAAGAAUGUAAAUGAAAGCUAAGUAUGAGCUGCCGAUAUAUUAUGCGACAAAAUAUUCUAAUGAUGCAUUUUAUUUGCUGAUAUUAGGAAAGAUUUCCUAUAACUUGUAUGAAUUUUCGGUGACAGAGUGGUCUGCUAAAAAAUUAUAGAGUCUCAACUUUGGGAACCGAUCUCGUCAGAAGGAUAUCCAAGAUCCGACCACCUAUGCAACCAGGUUCUUUUUGUUGAAAAAAAGUUACGGCAAAUAUAAAUCCUACAUAACAAUUUCCAUUAAUAAACAAUUAUAUUAUAAAAUAAAUUGGAAUUUACAAUUACAAAAAUGAAACUUACUGGAGAUACCAAUAUAAUUAUGAGUCGAUUCCUGUCAACGCGUUCUCCUAAGAAAAAUUCACCACUUACCGAGGGUGUUUGUUGUAAACUACGUCGGCGUCUUUUGUCCAUGAUAAAACGCUAGACCGUCGUAUGUCGGAACACCACCGAGGUAAAUCUUGGUACUGAACCUACGUUCUCUCUCUCUCAAAUCGAAAAUUAGAACCUAUUGAAAAACUGUAUAAUACUCAUAUUUUAAUCAAAAGUCCUAGCUCUCUUUAUAGGAUAAGGAAAGGCUAAAUUCAUUUUUCCUAUUAAUUAAUAAAAAGGAAUAAUCAUUUUUUCCGAUGGACUUGUGAUGAGAAAGUUCAUCUUUAACACAAGUUUUCCUAAUUUUACCUUUACAAAUGAGGACCUAUUAAUGCCCACUUUCAUUGAUACCAAAAUUUUAAUAAUCCCCAUGAAUGAAAUGGUUUGACAAAUCGACACAAAUACAAGUUGACACAAGAGAGAGCCAAUAAUAAUUCUGCAUAGGAUAGGUUCUUUUGAUCUUGAACAUUCCCUUUGUGAAAGCCUAUCGAAUUUACUGGCAGACUAUGGACUGCCCGUCCUGAACUGUGGUCAUCGUUGGUGUAAAUUGAGACAAUAGAUGUUACAAGCCUUCUCUAACACUUUCAGUUUUCAUGUGUGCUAUUUUGCCAUGGAACACUCUUCUUGGUUCUGUAAGUAUUUUCUCAAAAUUUAUCUUUCCAAAUUCUCAAAAAAUAACCACACUUUAUAAACUCCAAACAUAGGUACUUCUUAUCACUAAUCGCAACAAUGGUUUUUUAGAUCUUUAUUUUCCUCUUAGGAAGAAGUAAGCCACAUUCACAAGAUACCCCUACAUUUGUAAGUAGUUAUAGGUAGGUCUCCUACCCUUAAACACUUAUACAAGGGUUUGUCCGACUUCUUGCGAGAUACUAUAUUCAGGAUAUAGUUAUCGAUGAAAAUUACUUCACCACACAUGUUCUGAGACAACUCAUAACUUACCAACAUAGCAUACUUCAAGGUACAUUUCUAUCGCCUAGAAGUUUCAUUCUGCUGAGCAAAACAUCACCACCAAACAGUGAUUCAUUUUCAUAACCUCUGUCACUUUUCACAACCCUAAUUUUCUUGCUAAGUUGGUUCUCUACCUCAUUCUUAUGAAGAACGAAUUUCUAUCCAAGCUUCAUCAUUGCUCUUUAGAAAGUAUACAUCAUAUUGAAAUUAAUGAAUACUUAUUUGUAUAGGUAUUUAGACAUACUUCAAAUAACACAUAUCAAUAUGGAAAUUGUUUAAUUCCAAUUGUUCGGUUAAAUGUACUUCUUUCAACUGAAUGAAACAAAGAUCGAGCUAACUUCCCACAACACAAGUCUCACACUGGAAUCUUUUUCAAAAUGGAAAUUUGGAAUAUGAUAGCAACCUAAUUAACAUAUCAUAGUCUACCCAGCCACAAAAUAGAAGACUCAGCGCAUAAAUAAUAUAAAAUUUAUUUUUAUUAAUAAUAGGGGUAAACAGUCCAUAAAUGACAUAUUUACCCUUCUAUUUACUAGACCAUUUGGACAUUUGACUUCUUUGUCUUUCCGACAGACUGACCACAUAAAUAGAUACCAAUCUAAAUAUAAUCACACAAUUGUCUAACACCCGUUACACUCAACAUACCCCGAGAUCCCACGGGCGGGCUUCCUAGUGGGGUUCUAAUGGCACCGCUCUAGACAAGAGAUCGAGGGCAGUGCCCUUGAAAAUCUAAACGGAAUCACGAGGCAACUCCAACCGAUUGAGAAAAACUCUCACCUGUUCAAGUUAAGCAAAAGCUCUUCUGCCAUCCUCACCCAGUUGCAAAAACCGCUACUUAUCCAUCAAGUACUCAACAUCAACCAAUCAAAGUAAAAGCGCAACAUCUACCAUGAGUUCAAAUCGUAAAUUUUAAAAGAAGAUUUCAAACUACAAUUUUUAAAAAAAUUGGGUAAAAUUUAUAAUGGUUAAAAAAUCUGGAUAAAGCUGUAAUUUCAAAAUCUAGAUAAAAUUUGUAAUUACCCAAUAUCUGGGGGAAAACUAUAAAUUUUAAAUAUAGAAGAACUGUAAAUAACAGAAAUGAUUGGGUUCAAUCUAUAAUUCUUAAAAGUCCUGGGAGAAAUAAUUGUAAAAAAUCAAUUGGGUUUGAAACUGUAAUUUUCUCUUUUGAAAAAUUCUGGGAAAUGAUUCCACCAAAGCGCGAGCGGAUUCGGAGAUAAAGUCGAAUCUCGAUGAAAAUUAGAUUUUAAGAUAUUUUGUUUAGAUAUAUAAUAAAAAUACAUUUAUCUAUUUUAUUAUAUUUAGAUAUUAUAAAAUAAUUCAUAUAUUUUAAUUAGGAUAUUAAAAUUAUUGAUAUAAAAAUAUCUAACCGGUGGAUUUUUUAGCACUUGGUUAGUAAUUAAACCAGAGUAGUGGUAUGGGUACUCCAAUGUGCACCUCAAAUGACCACCACCACCAUGAGGUGGACAUUGGGUGGUUUGAAAGGAGUGGGGGAGAUAAUAACGCUCGACAUCUCGAUUGUUGUAUGUAAAUUAGAGUAUUUUGCAGAUUAUAAUAAAAUAUCGAAAUUUAUCUAUGUUAUUAGAUUUAGAUAUAGAUAAAAUAAUUCAUAUAUUUUAAAUUAGAUAUUUUCAAAUUAUUUGAGUAUAAAAAUAGCUAAACGGUGGUUAGCACUGGUUAGUAAUUAAACCUAGAGUAGUGUUAUGGGUACUUCCAAUGUUCACCUCAAACGCACACCACACGAUAUGGGCAUUGGGAUUGGUUGAAAGGAGUGGGAUCAACACGAUGUGGAGUAAUUGGGAUUGAUUGAAAAGAGUGGGAGCUUUUUUGCACUCCUUUCAACCAUCUUAAUGACACCUGUGGGGUGUGCGUUUGAGGUGUCAACAUUAGAGUACUCAAAGCAUGUUCCCUUAAGACCUAUCGUCCUGAGCACGUGAAGCAAAGUUAAAUAUUAUGUUCUCGACCGAGUAACUAUUUUUAGAAAGCUAAUGAAAGUCAUAUCGAUUAGUCCAACCACCCCCAACCGUACUCUAUGUUACACGUGAUCGAUCGUUUAUAUAAUAUUGACAUCUCUGUUUAAUUGUUAUAGAGGGGGGAGGGGGGAAUAAUGACUUCUCGCUUGUCAUUUAUGCAAUAAUUGACAUCCGUGUUAGUUGAAAUUUCCCCUUAAUUGAAUCAAAACACAACCUAUUAAACCGUGGUGAAUUACGACAUUAUCUUCUGGAGAGAGGACCCUCCGAUAACAAGUUGACUCUCCUUUAAUUUUUCUAAUUAUACUUUACAUUUUUCUUUAUUAUACAAUUUAUAAUAAUGCCUUCACCAACUUUUGCAAAUUAAGUACUCCCCCCCUUUCACCAAUACAUCUAAUUAUACGAAGUUAUUUAAUUUAUUUUUGCUUCUACACUUUAGCAAUUAGCUAAUACCCUCACCAUACACCUAUAUUUGUGCUUUCUUUUCAAUACCAUCGAUGUGCAGUUCAGAUCUUUAUAAAAAGAUUGAAUAUAGACAAUUAGUGAUGUGUAUUUAAAAAAAUGAGUAAAAUGCAUACAUCAUUACCCUUUUUAUAACAUCAAAACUUAGUUUUCACAUAGCUUAUCAUUUGGAAUCCUUGUUGGGAGAACAAACAAUGAUUCGGUUAUUCGAAUCAAUACCAAAUGCGGAAAAACUAAAUUUCCCUCUUUGUGUGAAUCUUAAUAGGAAGUGAUCAAAUCGAGGCAAGCAAGAUGAAUCUGAUAAAUUAUCAACAAAUAAGCACACGCAUAAACACGAUCAAUUUUUACGUGAAAAACCUCCCCGAUGUAAAGAGUAAAAAACCACGGGACCAAAGUCCACCAAAUCCCACUAUGGAAUCAAUAAUGGUAAAACAAAGGGUCUCUCGAGUACUUACUAGAGGCAAACAACAAGAGUAACUCAAGAAACAAAUUCUUGGAAACAAAGGAGAAAUGAGAGAUCUCACCCAAAACACAAGUGUACUCGUUCACGUCCAGAUCUGCGUAUGGUGGGAAGCACCAAAUUAAAAUAUCCCACCCCGGGGGGGGUUUUUUCCAGAUUGAAGAGGCCUCGUGUCGUGUGAAGUGUGCUCACCAAAUUUCAGCAGAUCGGACCACGAAUGACUGUGGAUCGGAUCCCUUGAUCAAAAACUUGGUAGGUGCGCCUUCUUUUCACCCUCACAAUCCUCCUCUCUGUCUCUCUAUAAACAAAUUGCCCGCACCCCCGCACACCAAUUUUUUUUCUUAUUGCCCUAAAAAAACUUACUUAGUCAAUAGCAUUGUAUAAACAUUAUGACAAAAUGGGCUAAAAACUCUCCACUAUGGGCCUAAGAAAAAAAUACAAACAUGAGCAUUCAAAAAUUUGGGCCAUCCUCCACAGAGGGAAACCAACAAAACAUCCCUAUAUUCAAUGUUGUAUGUUCAUUGCCACGCCAAAUUUGUGAAUAUUCCCCAAAGGACGCUGAGACAAUUAACACAACAAUGAGCAUGCACUUUGUAAGAGAAAAUUAUAGAAAAAGGACAUGCUUUUAUGGAAUUCCACUGUUUCCACCUUCAAAGAGAUGGAAUUAGGAAUUAGGAUUGAAGUAUGGAAGGGGGACCAUUUGAAAAAAGCUACAAGGUGGGUUCGAUAAAACAUUUGUUGCUAUAUCAAAGUGUAGAUAGAAGCGUUAUCAUUUAAGGAAACCUUUUUUAAGUUCAUUAAUAAUAUUGACGGAGUAAAAGUUUCUACACUCUCAGUUAUCCAACUAUUGAAAUUAAGUCAUCCACAGUGCUCUGUCUAAUUAUGAUUUAGAAAAAAAAAAAGUGACAAAUCUGGAUUAGAAAUUGAAGUGAUAGUAUGAUACGAUAGACAAUAUAGAAACGUGUUUUCAUAAUAUAUAUAGAACAAAAAAUCUUAUUUAAAAAAUAAUCAAAAAACAAAAAGUUUUUGACAAAGGGAAAACACUCGCAGUUAUCCAACGAUUUGAAAUAAGUCAUCACAGUGCUCUUUAAUUAUGAAUUAUAAAAAAAAAAGUUGACAAAAAUCUUGAUAGAAAAAGUGAAGCGAUAGUAUGAAUAAGAUAGAAAUAUAUCAAAGUGUUUUCAUCUAUAUAUAUAGACAAAAAAAUCUAUUAAAGAAUAAUCAAAAAAAAAAAAGUUUUUGGACCAACAAAAGGGAGUGGGUGGGCUUGGGCUGGGUGAAAAAGGGGGUUUUUGACAAGUGGAAGGGGUGGGGGUUGGGGAAAGAGCCGGCGAAGGGGGGUUAGGUUGACAGUGUGGUGCGGGCUGUCGGCUUGGGGGAAGGCCGGCUGGGGUCUAUGCAGCUUCAAAAGGAAGGCUGGGGGGCCGGAUGGGGGAAAAGUGGGGUGGGAACACGGGGGAGAGAAAGGGGGACAAAAGGCAGGGACAAAAUGAUAAUUUCAGUUAAAGGGUUUGUUGAUAGGUUUGUUGAUGCGACUAAAAGUGGAGUGAGAAUAAUAUCUCCCCUUAUUUGGGGAGAGGCAGAUUCCAUGCCACAACGCUGGAUCACAUUGAAAUUAAAUUUUCUUAUUUCCAAUUAUGAAUGGCUUCCGUCAAUUCAGGAUUGAGUUUGCAUUACACUUCCUGCUUCUGGUCUUUAUCAGGCAGGCACAGGACGCAUAAGGAAUGGCAAAUCCAUAAAGAUCUUUUUUUCUUCAAACCAAAAACUCCGUCACAUACUACAUCUUCAAUCAUUAGCAAAGCUCCAGUCAAAAUGGUACAAAAGCUGUUCAAGUCGCCUUCCAGCACCAAAUGGGAGGAUGUAUCAAAAUGUGUGCCCACUAUAAGGAAUUAUUUUCCUAUUGUUCGGCACUCAAGAACCCUCAGAUAUAUUUGAAAGAUUUAAAAAAGAUAUUUCUUAAAAAUUCUCAAACAAAUUUAAAUAGUUUAAGAAAAAAUUGUUUGGUUGAUUGGUUUUUGAAAUUUUUUUUUUGAGAUUUUUUUUUUCAAAAAUAAACUCAUUUUUGAGAAAAUGAAAAUAUUUAAAGAUUGUAUGCAAAUUCGAAAAAAUUAUUUUUAAGUAAAAAAAUAAUAAUAUAUGAAACACUGAAUGUUUUUGAAAUAAAUUUUGAAAAAUCAUUAUUCUACACAAUUAAUUUGAAAAAAUAAAACCAAAAACAGAGCCUAAAAUUUUGCAAAAAAAAACAAAAAAAAAUUGAAUAAGAUACGAAAAGGAUGAGUGGUUUGUAUUUCAAAAUAAACCUGAAAAGGGCAACAUUUUAAAACUGCAACUAAGUGGCAAGGUUUAUGGUUUUGUGAACAAGGUUCAUGAAUGUAUUAAUUAACAUGCUUAAAAUGAUGGCAUUUGUAUAUAAAAUAGGCUAAUUUUGAAAAAAAAUGAUUAAUUCUUUCAAACUUGUUAAUAGCCUUGGGUGUAUUUGGUGGGAUUAGGAUUUAGUGGGAAAAGAAAAUAGAAAAGCAAAGGGAAAAAAGUAAUGAACCCAAUAUAAAUAUUUCAAUGGAAUAAAUUUUUUAUUAAUUAUCCUGAAUUAUGUCAACAAUUUUAAUUUCUAUUUAAUUAGCAGUAUAAUGUGUGAAUUUUCUAAGAUUAUCUUUUUAAGAUAGUUAUUAGUUCAUAUUAAAUAAAAGAUGUACUUCUAAUAACAACACAAACAGAAGUCUAUAUCUCGAAUCAUAGAAAAUUCAUGCUAUACACAAUGCAAAAAAUAGUAGGAAAAUGGAACACGUAUUAAGAAAUAAAUCAGUAAAUAAAAGGGCCAAAUAAAUAUAAGCUUCACAAACCAUAGCGGGCCGAUGGGAGUAAAUUCAGUACCCUAAUCAAUAAACUAUUAACACUAUACUUUCGACAACCCAUUUCAGGACCAAUUUCAAAAAAACGAAUUCAGAAGCCCAGGACCCAUGAAAUCAAAGCAACCCUGCAGCAUCAAACUCCAUUUCCUUGUGGUCUUAGUUUCCAUAAGAAAGAGAUUCAUUGAAAGAUAACGAAUUGGAAUCAAGAUGAGAUAUUUUUCCUCCUCACAGUCACACCAAAUGAACUCCUUCCAUGUCUAGCUCUUCUUUUCAUGCCAUGGGACGAUCCAAUCAAAAUGGUACAACAAUUGUGCACGUGGAAGCUCAAUGUUAGGCACGGCAAAUUAUAUCCCGGACAAAAUCCUCCCUCCCGGCCCAAACGGGAUGGAAUUGGAAAAUCGUUUCCCUUGAAAUCAUUCUGCUUUCCAAAACCUCUUCUGGGGUUAAAAUCUCUCCGCUCGUUCCAGUGUUUGGGGUUUUCGUGGUUCGGCGCUGCGAUUGCCCCACGCAUUGACAAGACUUUGGUAUUGGCAGAGACAAAAGUGCCCAUUAAUCACACAUGGUUCACUGGAUUCUCUUGGGGACUAAUAGGGAGCAGAGGGUGAAGCCCUUAAGGUUCUCUUGGUUAUAGGUUUUAAGUAGGUAGCUCAUGACGACCUGAUGAAAUGACGUUACUUUGUGGAAAAGACUUUCUUACCUUGUUGUGCUCUCUCAUUGCUGUGGUUUUGAUCAUUCCGCGACAUUGCCACUCUACUGUUGUUGAGGAUGUCUCACGUCCAGCACUGAACAUAUCAUGAAAUUUAUGCGGUUUGGAUGUUUUCAGGUAAUUCACAGAAAUGACUUUCGUGGACAUUUUUCAAAACUUAAAAAUUCAUACGCCAAAAAAUUUUUCCAAAUUCUGAAAAUCAUAUAAAGAAAAUGAUAACAUGUGAAAAGGAUAUGAAUAUUUAUUUUUUCAAAAUGUUUCUGAAAGACGUUCUAAAACAGUGCUUUACACGAAAUAUUGAAACAUAAAGAGAGCAAAAAAUAGAGAAGAGACAAUUCUAUGCAUAUAAUUAUGUUGCCCUCACAACCAUUAAACCAUGGUAGAAGUUCGAUUUUUUUCCCCAAAAAACCGGUUCUGAGCAGAAAGAAAAUAGUAUGACUCGAACAUGUUGCAAUGAAAUAUAAAAAAAAAGUACCAAAACACACAAAAAAAAAUAUAACCAAAAUGGACUGCUUUGAUGUUUGUCAUCAGUCAAUGCCAACUAUGCAAAAUUCCAGGUCACCAGGAUUCUGAACCUUUAGAAGAACAUCGACUAAACCUCUGUUUCCUGCUUUGCCACCUUCUGUCGCACUGUUUCCAUUCUUGUGCUCGUUCACAAUGCUUUCGAGUAUUUUUAUCGAGUAUGUUUCUCAACUUCUCAAGUAAUUUCAUUCGGUGAUCACUUCGAGUACUUUCACCGAGGGUUACAAAGGUCCACGGAUGCUGAUGAACCGCUGCCAAGAACGUGGCUUCUUCCUCCACAAAGCGGGAAAUGCAAUUUCUUGGGUCUUUGUUUCUCUCCCAAAACGCGGGCUAGCAAACCAUCCCAUAUGUUUAGCGGAGGAGAUUGGAGAUUUUUGCGAAGAUUGAUUUGGGACAAUCCCGUAUCUUUCGAAAUUGAUUUUACUAAAUUCAAAAAUUCUCUUCCCUAAUCCUUGGAAUGAUUGUACCCCGCGCCUGGCACUUAACAAUUCCAGACACAAAUUUUGCAUUUGUCUCCAGUAAUCACCAUACGGGGAAAAGACAAUAUUGUGAACAUAAGAGAAAAUUUGGGAAGCGAGCGAGAAGAAGAAAAGGCCUUGGCGACGAACGACAAUUGUCGUGGUCUUUUAGAACCUCUUUUGGCAAAUCAGGCGAAGAGACGACCAUAGUGG
rnacentral:lncRNA from 1 species